rnacentral:rRNA from 2 species
UUAAGUUAUUAAGGGCGCACGGUGGAUGCCUUGGCACUAGAAGCCGAUGAAGGACGUUACUAACGACGAUAUGCUUUGGGGAGCUGUAAGUAAGCUUUGAUCCAGAGAUUUCCGAAUGGGGAAACCCAGCAUGAGUUAUGUCAUGUUAUCGAUAUGUGAAUACAUAGCAUAUCAGAAGGCACACCCGGAGAACUGAAACAUCUUAGUACCCGGAGGAAGAGAAAGAAAAUUCGAUUCCCUUAGUAGCGGCGAGCGAAACGGGAAGAGCCCAAACCAACAAGCUUGCUUGUUGGGGUUGUAGGACACUCUAUACGGAGUUACAAAGGACGACAUUAGACGAAUCAUCUGGAAAGAUGAAUCAAAGAAGGUAAUAAUCCUGUAGUCGAAAAUGUUGUCUCUCUUGAGUGGAUCCUGAGUACGACGGAGCACGUGAAAUUCCGUCGGAAUCUGGGAGGACCAUCUCCUAAGGCUAAAUACUCUCUAGUGACCGAUAGUGAACCAGUACCGUGAGGGAAAGGUGAAAAGCACCCCGGAAGGGGAGUGAAAUAGAACCUGAAACCGUGUGCUUACAAGUAGUCAGAGCCCGUUAAUGGGUGAUGGCGUGCCUUUUGUAGAAUGAACCGGCGAGUUACGAUUUGAUGCAAGGUUAAGCAGUAAAUGUGGAGCCGUAGCGAAAGCGAGUCUGAAUAGGGCGUUUAGUAUUUGGUCGUAGACCCGAAACCAGGUGAUCUACCCUUGGUCAGGUUGAAGUUCAGGUAACACUGAAUGGAGGACCGAACCGACUUACGUUGAAAAGUGAGCGGAUGAACUGAGGGUAGCGGAGAAAUUCCAAUCGAACCUGGAGAUAGCUGGUUCUCUCCGAAAUAGCUUUAGGGCUAGCCUCAAGUGAUGAUUAUUGGAGGUAGAGCACUGUUUGGACGAGGGGCCCCUCUCGGGUUACCGAAUUCAGACAAACUCCGAAUGCCAAUUAAUUUAACUUGGGAGUCAGAACAUGGGUGAUAAGGUCCGUGUUCGAAAGGGAAACAGCCCAGACCACCAGCUAAGGUCCCAAAAUAUAUGUUAAGUGGAAAAGGAUGUGGCGUUGCCCAGACAACUAGGAUGUUGGCUUAGAAGCAGCCAUCAUUUAAAGAGUGCGUAAUAGCUCACUAGUCGAGUGACACUGCGCCGAAAAUGUACCGGGGCUAAACAUAUUACCGAAGCUGUGGAUUGUCCUUUGGACAAUGGUAGGAGAGCGUUCUAAGGGCGUUGAAGCAUGAUCGUAAGGACAUGUGGAGCGCUUAGAAGUGAGAAUGCCGGUGUGAGUAGCGAAAGACGGGUGAGAAUCCCGUCCACCGAUUGACUAAGGUUUCCAGAGGAAGGCUCGUCCGCUCUGGGUUAGUCGGGUCCUAAGCUGAGGCCGACAGGCGUAGGCGAUGGAUAACAGGUUGAUAUUCCUGUACCACCUAUAAUCGUUUUAAUCGAUGGGGGGACGCAGUAGGAUAGGCGAAGCGUGCGAUUGGAUUGCACGUCUAAGCAGUAAGGCUGAGUAUUAGGCAAAUCCGGUACUCGUUAAGGCUGAGCUGUGAUGGGGAGAAGACAUUGUGUCUUCGAGUCGUUGAUUUCACACUGCCGAGAAAAGCCUCUAGAUAGAAAAUAGGUGCCCGUACCGCAAACCGACACAGGUAGUCAAGAUGAGAAUUCUAAGGUGAGCGAGCGAACUCUCGUUAAGGAACUCGGCAAAAUGACCCCGUAACUUCGGGAGAAGGGGUGCUCUUUAGGGUUAACGCCCAGAAGAGCCGCAGUGAAUAGGCCCAAGCGACUGUUUAUCAAAAACACAGGUCUCUGCUAAACCGUAAGGUGAUGUAUAGGGGCUGACGCCUGCCCGGUGCUGGAAGGUUAAGAGGAGUGGUUAGCUUCUGCGAAGCUACGAAUCGAAGCCCCAGUAAACGGCGGCCGUAACUAUAACGGUCCUAAGGUAGCGAAAUUCCUUGUCGGGUAAGUUCCGACCCGCACGAAAGGCGUAACGAUUUGGGCACUGUCUCAACGAGAGACUCGGUGAAAUCAUAGUACCUGUGAAGAUGCAGGUUACCCGCGACAGGACGGAAAGACCCCGUGGAGCUUUACUGUAGCCUGAUAUUGAAAUUCGGCACAGCUUGUACAGGAUAGGUAGGAGCCUUUGAAACGUGAGCGCUAGCUUACGUGGAGGCGCUGGUGGGAUACUACCCUAGCUGUGUUGGCUUUCUAACCCGCACCACUUAUCGUGGUGGGAGACAGUGUCAGGCGGGCAGUUUGACUGGGGCGGUCGCCUCCUAAAAGGUAACGGAGGCGCUCAAAGGUUCCCUCAGAAUGGUUGGAAAUCAUUCAUAGAGUGUAAAGGCAUAAGGGAGCUUGACUGCGAGACCUACAAGUCGAGCAGGGUCGAAAGACGGACUUAGUGAUCCGGUGGUUCCGUAUGGAAGGGCCAUCGCUCAACGGAUAAAAGCUACCCCGGGGAUAACAGGCUUAUCUCCCCCAAGAGUUCACAUCGACGGGGAGGUUUGGCACCUCGAUGUCGGCUCAUCGCAUCCUGGGGCUGUAGUCGGUCCCAAGGGUUGGGCUGUUCGCCCAUUAAAGCGGUACGCGAGCUGGGUUCAGAACGUCGUGAGACAGUUCGGUCCCUAUCCGUCGUGGGCGUAGGAAAUUUGAGAGGAGCUGUCCUUAGUACGAGAGGACCGGGAUGGACAUACCUCUGGUGUACCAGUUGUCGUGCCAACGGCAUAGCUGGGUAGCUAUGUGUGGACGGGAUAAGUGCUGAAAGCAUCUAAGCAUGAAGCCCCCCUCAAGAUGAGAUUUCCCAACUUCGGUUAUAAGAUCCCUCAAAGAUGAUGAGGUUAAUAGGUUCGAGGUGGAAGCAUGGUGACAUGUGGAGCUGACGAAUACUAAUCGAUCGAAGACUUAAUCAA